rnacentral:rRNA from 1 species
GUUUCCGUAGGUGAACCUGCGGAAGGAUCAUUAUCGAAAAAAAGUUGCUAUGUCUGUGGUACGCUGUAAACAAACUCAAAGCACCCGUCGUGGGGUACCUGUCGUAACCAGCGUUUGUGAGGUUUAAAGAGGGGAAGCCUCCUUCCGCCCCCGACGGCGUUGUGUCUUCCUUUCUCUGUACGGUAUCAUAAAGGUGACCAUCGAUUGCAGGUGUUGGCAAUCUGAACACGAGAAAAACUCUAAGCGGUGGAUCACUCGGCUCGUGUGUCGAUGAAGGGCGCAGCCAGCUGCGUGAACUAAUGUGAAUUGCAGGACACAUUGAACGUCGACAUCUUGAACGCACAUUGCGGUCUCGGGUCACUCCCGGGACCACGCCCGUCUCAGGGUCGGCAGAAACACUUGGCACGCCGAUUGGGGACUGGGUAGUGAUGUACUACUACUGCCCGGUCCCUCGAACGUACCGCCGCACGGCUGUCCUGGCGAAAGCCUGUCGUGCGAGCCCACCACGAUGCGACCUGAGAUCGGACGAGAC